UAGGGAAUAUUGCGCAAUGGGCGAAAGCCUGACGCAGCGACGCCGCGUGGGUGAUGAAGCUCUUUGGAGUGUAAAACCCUUUCAGCAGGGAAGAACCGCAUACGGAGUAACUGCCGUAUGCCUGACGGUACCUGCAGAAGAAGCUCCGGCCAACUCCGUGCCAGCAGCCGCGGUAAUACGGGGGGAGCGAGCGUUGUUCGGAUUUACUGGGCGUAAGGGCGCGUAGGUGGGUCUUCAAGUCAAAUGUGAAAACCGACGGCUUAACCAUCGGCCUGCAUUUGAUACUGUCGAUCUUGAGUACGGGAGAGGAAAGCGGAAUUCCUGGUGUAGCGGUGAAAUGCGUAGAUAUCAGGAGGAACACCGGUGGCGAAGGCGGCUUUCUGGCCCGAUACUGACACUGAGGCGCGAAGGCCGGGGGAGCAAACAG
rnacentral:rRNA from 1 species